CCUACGGGAGGCAGCAGUGGGGAAUAUUGGACAAUGGGGGGAACCCUGAUCCAGCCAUGCCGCGUGUGUGAAUAAGGCCCUCGGGUUGUAAAGCACUUUCAGUGAGGAAGAACGCCUGGUGGUUAAUACCCAUCAGGAAAGACAUCACUCACAGAAGAAGCACCGGCUAACUCCGUGCCAGCAGCCGCGGUAAUACGGAGGGUGCGAGCGUUAAUCGGAAUUACUGGGCGUAAAGCGCGCGUAGGUGGCUUGAUAAGCCGGUUGUGAAAGCCCCGGGCUCAACCUGGGAACGGCAUCCGGAACUGUCAAGCUAGAGUGCAGGAGAGGAAGGUAGAAUUCCCGGUGUAGCGGUGAAAUGCGUAGAGAUCGGGAGGAAUACCAGUGGCGAAGGCGGCCUUCUGGACUGACUCUGACACUGAGGUGCGAAAGCGUGGGUAGCAAACAGGAUUAGAUACCCGAGUAGUC
rnacentral:rRNA from 1 species